UCCAGAAUUCUUCCCAUCUUAUGAAUACAUGAUGCUGCACUCUGGGUUGGCAAAAAAGAUAGCUGUUUAUAUCCAAUACGGCAUACUGCAGCAGAGAAAGUUGUGAUGAGUCUCAUUCAUUGGGGACAUGGCUUCACUUCUGGACUCAAACGGGAGAAAUAGAUAAUCUGAUUGAGCCAAAACUUUAGAAACAAACCCUGAAAUCCUGAUGGACAGAGGGUCAUGCUAAUUUCCUCCUUGAUGAGUUUAUUACCCAUAAAGUUAUCCUUAGGUGGAACUCUACCUCUGAGUUAGAACUUAACCAGCAGCCAAAAAUGAUGAACCAAGGACUUGAAAUGGGGUCACUGUGCUGUUGGAGGUGAAAUCUUUGUGACAACAUAGCAGAUUGAGGCCCAAAUACUGAUGUUCGUUAAAGACAGUCAUUUUUCCUGAUAAGAUCAUAAAGUACACAGCUGAGGAAGGCUACAACGCUCAUAGGUGCUGGCUACGUUAGCUGCACCUACACUAAAGUCAAUGCAUUUGCAUCAACAUGCAAGCAGAGUUUGUCCCAUUUUACAUAAUGUAUGUCUCACUCUGCUCUAGUCAUAACACCGAGUUUUUUGACCUUUUUAAUAUUUCAUGUUUUGAGUAGCUAGUAAGAUUCUUCCCCACAGAUUACAAAGGUUGAAACAAGAGAAGAACUAAAAUGUCCAUUGACUCAAAUUAAAAAAAAAGACAAAAUAGCGAAAGCUAUUAGUUAAAGCAACACUAAUUAAUACAAAAUAUGAGACACUGUUACAGAUUUGAUCUCCUGUUCAAAGUGUUAAAGUUCAUAGUCAAUACAGUUACAUACAUUAGUCUACAGAUAAGUACAUAUUGAUUCAUAGACAUACGCAGAAACAAGCUUGUCUCAUGCAAUUUGAAGGAAGCAGUCUCAGUGUGAAUCGGAACCAAUUAAAAAGUGCUUAUUGAUUUCAUAGUGGAAUGAAUGUAUAAACCAGUACAUUAUGGGCCAGAUUUAUUCGUAAAUUCCAGUGCUUUGUACUGCUUUGGUGAUGCAAAACAGCUGUAGACCAUCUGAGUUGGUCAUUUCAGAUGGUUUUUCUUCUGGUAUCCAGAAGAUACUUACAAAUCUGCCCCUAAGUGUAUAACAAAAAUGAAAAAGUAGGUCAACCGCAAGCACUGACGUGUGCACCAUUACGUUUUGUGGUUUCAUAAACGUAUUUUUGUACUGCAUGAAAGAUGGAUAGAAAUCCUGUUUCUGAUAAAUACACAGACAUGUGUCAGUUGUGUAAAAACCAUUCCAUUGUUGAAGUGAUGACAAUGUAAUAAAUGUGAUCAAGAUGCAGUAGC